rnacentral:rRNA from 1 species
CCUAGCCAGUAUGCCCGAGCAUAGAGAACUUUAGUUCGGCCCCCCGAAACUAGACGAGCUACUUCAAGACAGCCUAUGUUGGGCAAACCCGUCUCUGUUGCAAAAGAGUGGGACGAUCUUCAAGUAGAGGUGACAAACCUAUCGAGCCUAGUAAUAGCUGGUUGUCUGAGAAGCGUAUAUAAGUUCAGCCUCCCGACUCCCCCCAUCCAAGACACCUAUGUCUCCUAAGACUGAGGGUGACCGAGAGAGUUAGUCAAAGAGGGUACAGCCCCUUUGAAAAAGGACACAACCUCCCCGGGAAAUAAAAGAUCAUAAUCAACCCAAGGAAACUUGUUUUAGUGGGCCUAAAAGCAGCCACCUAAGAAGAAAGCGUUAAAGCUCAUACAGACUCCAACCCCCAAUACCGAAUCCAGCUCUUCACUUCCCACCCAUUAUCAGACCGUCCCACACACCCUGGGAAAGACCCUGCUAGGAUGAGUAAUAAGAGGGGCCGCCCCUCUCCUUCACAUAUGUGUACAUCGGAACGGACCCACCGCCGAUAACUAACGACCCCCCAUCUGAGGGAAGUGUAAUACUGCCCGAAUAGCUAGAAAACUCAACACAAUAAAUCGUUAACCCAACACAGGUGUGCAUGCCCGGAAAGACUUAAACAAAGGGAAGGAACUCGGCAAACACAAGCCUCGCCUGUUUACCAAAAACAUCGCCUCUUGCAAAACGAACGAAUAAGAGGUCCCGCCUGCCCUGUGACUAUAUGUUUAACGGCCGCGGUAUUUUGACCGUGCGAAGGUAGCGCAAUCACUUGUCUCUUAAAUGGAGACCUGUAUGAAAGGCAUCACGAGGGCUUAGCUGUCUCCCCUUUAAAGUCAAUGAAAUUGAUCUCCCCGUGCAGAAGCGGGGAUAUGCUCGUAAGACGAGAAGACCCUAUGAAGCUUAAGAUACAAAGCGACCCAUGUCAAACACCCCCUUAAAGGAAAUGAACGAAAUGAACUCCGCUGGAAUGUCUUCGGUUGGGGCGACCGCGGGGAAAGACAAAACCCCCACAUGGACUAGGGCUACUACAGCCCUAAAACCUAGACCCACAGGUCAAAUCAACAGUACUUCUGACCACCAAAGAGCCGGCAAUGCCGAUCGACGGACCGAGUUACUCUAGGGAUAACAGCGCAAUCCCCUCCCAGAGCCCUUAUCGACGAGGGGGUUUACGACCUCGAUGUUGGAUCAGGACAUCCUAAUGGUGCAGCCGCUAUUCAGG